rnacentral:lncRNA from 1 species
UUGAUUGAAUGAAACGAGAUUAAUAUGGAUGCUAGAACCCUAAAACAUUAAAAGAUACCUUAGGCACGUAGAAUUAGACUUUGUCUUAUGACAAUUUCUUCACGAACUUAUCGACUCUUCAUCAAUGAAGGUCCGGGCGACAGAAAGUGAAGCAGAAGAAGAAACGACUCCACGCCAACUUUAAGAACAAUUGAGGUGGGCAUUAUUUUAUUAUUACGUAUAUAGAGAUCCCCUGCGUGACGUAGGCCUCAUAUGCGAAUAUAUAUGCAUGAUAUGUUUUGACUAUUUAUUCAGUUCUUAUAAAAUGCUUAUAUGUUCAAUGCCCUUUAUGAAAAUAAAAAUGUUAUGAAAAUGAAAUGUUUAUGAAAUGAUUGACUGCCAAAAUGUUUAUGUUUUUAUAUGUAUCCUAUCUGUGUUGGUUCGCCAACUUUAAAGGAAAUCCAAUUGGGAUCCUAUGCUAGACAAAGGUCGCUAGCUAGGGUUAACGUGUACACUCAUGGAGACCGCGAGUCGCUUGCGACCGGUCUUGGCGUCCGUGGUAAGGAGGCCUCCUUCCCGGCGCGUGACAGAAAGGACAGAUAUGGAUCAUAUAGACUGAAAAUGGGAUGCAUCCACCUUUAUGAAAAUGAAUGAAAUGUUUUAGUAAGCGCAGGUCAUUUAUGAAAACCCCUGUGUGUUACUGUUAUGGCAGUUCAAUUUAUAUAUGUAUGCAUGUUGUAUUUUCGGCUUAUGUCACUGAGUAUUUUUAUACUCAGCCCUGCAUGUAUUUCUAAAUGUGCAGGUUGAGCAGGCGAUGGAAUGGAUCGGUGUUGAGCGGAUUUCCCUUUUGAUGUUAUGUAAUGAAACCUUGAGUAUGCAUCUCCAUAUGCAUAACUCACACGUUUUUCCGCUGCAAACACUCUGAAUUUGUUAUCGUAUUGUGGAACUUAUUACUCCUUCAUUUUGUUUAACUUUCAUUUGGGGUUUAGUCGUUAUGGCUGGCUCGUUUGUUAAUUACCCAAGUGGUGAUAUAUAUAUAUAUACCACUAGUUUGUUGUUAUUAAUGUUGGUUAUUUAGUAAAUCCCUUUUAAUUUCCAUUUCUUAUUGUUCACCCAAGUCAUAACCCCGGUUAACCCGUCAUUGGGAUAGUGGGCUGUGACAGAGUGGUAUCAGAGCAGUUCGUUUGCUCUGGCCCUAGAAACCAUUUUCUAAAAAG